rnacentral:lncRNA from 1 species
CGUAGGGGCGUGGAGUGUAAAUGGGAGCGAGAGAAGCAGGAGAAAACAGAAAAAGGAGGAUGUUUGCUAGUUACCAAUCACAGUUUGCUGGGUCGUCAGGGAGGAAGGAGUGGUGGAUUUCAGCCUCGGCCUCCGGGUAGCUAAGAUCAAACACAGAAACCACCUUCAGGUCCUCACACUGGCUGCAGGAACAUGAGUGCUAUCAAGAUGCAGCUGUCCACAGGGAGACCUAGCCCUGCUUGAGGCAGGUUUCCAUGUCACAGCGUUACUUCCCCCCACGUGACACGACCCUAUCUUUCAAGUGGUACACGUAUGCCCAAGAGAACAGAGGAAACCUAAGAACGCACGCGCCCUGUAC